GUGUUACGGAAUUCUGUCAGUCAGACCUUCCCGUCAGCAUAAAACAAGGAAAGAGAAGAAGAAGAAGACGAUAAGCUGUGAAGAUACAUUCUGUGGGACAUACAGUUUCUCGUCGCUUCCUAUGGUCUCAUUUUUUUCACACCAAGAGGAGGGUGAAGAAGGAGAGAGGAUCUUGCGUAGUCACAUUGAAACAUUUACGACUGCAUCAACAAGAGAGAUAAAAUAAAAAAAAAAGGAUGCCAAAACAGCUAUAUUUAUUGUCUAAAAGAAGAAGAUUUCAGUUAAUUAACAAUGAACUGGCACAUCAUAGUAGUUCCUUCCUGUCUAGAAAAGUAGAAUCAGUAAAA